rnacentral:Y_RNA from 1 species
GGCUGGUCUGAGUGCAGUGGUGUUUACAACUAAUUGAUCACAACCAGUUACAGAUUCCUUUGUUCCUUCUCCAUGCCCACUGCUUCACAUGACUAGCCUUAA